ACUGAGGAACGAAAGCAUGGGUAGCGAAGAGGAUUAGAUACCCUCGUAGUCCAUGCCGUAAACGAUGUGUGUUAGACGUUGGAAAUUUAUUUUCAGUGUCGCAGCGAAAGCGAUAAACACACCGCCUGGGGAGUACGACCACAAGGUUAAAACUCAAAUGAAUUGACGGGGACCCGCACAAGUAGUGGAGCAUGUGGUUUAACUCGAAGAUACGCGCAGAACCUUACCAACACUUGACAUGUUCGUCGCGACUUUAAGAGAUUAAAGUUUUCGGUUCGGCCGGACGAAACACAGGUGCUGCAUGGCUGUCGUCAGCUCGUGUCGUGAGAUGUUGGGUUAAGUCCCGCAACGAGCGCAACCCUCACUUUUAGUUGCCAUCAUUUAGUUGGGCACUCUGAAAGAACUGCCAGUGAUAAGCUGGAGGAAGGUGGGGAUGACGUCAAGUCCUCAUGGCCCUUACGUGUUGGGCUACACACGUGCUACAAUGGUAUCUACAACAGGAAGCAAAACGGCGACGUUAAGCAAAUCCUUAAAAGAUACCUCAGUUCGGAUUGCACUCUGCAACUCGAGUGCAUGAAGCUGGAAUUACUAGUAAUCGCAAAUCAGAAUGUUGCGGUGAAUACGCUCCCGGGCCUUGUACACUCCGCCC
rnacentral:rRNA from 1 species